GCGGCCCCUGCCGGCAGCUCACACCUGGUCCGGCUCCCGGGCCCUGGAGGCCCUUCCCUGGGCCUGCUCGUCGCACAAGGUACCUAUGGAUUUUCUCAGCUCUUCACUGUGAGUUAUUUGUGAAGCAACAUGAAGCAGUUUUUCUAGAGAAAGCAAGUAUACAGCUCUUUGAUCCAGAGCAGGUGGAAACGGAGCCUGAUGAGUGAAUCACGGGGACCAGGAGGCUGGAAGAGGGAGAUCGGGCAGACUCAGGUCACACGUCCCCCUAUGGCCCAGAGAGGCGGAUCAGCCCGUCUGAGUCACAUGUACUAAAUGAGAAUAGAGGAGGAUGACCACCAGGAGAAAAUGAAGAUGCUAUCAAGGGAGAAUGAGAUGCUGGGCAGAUAAAAGCAACAGGUGGCACUACAGAAAUCCAUUUUACAUACGAGGAAAAUAAGGCUCAGAAUGUUUAAGAAACUCAGUUAAGGCCAUGUAAGUAGUGGUUCAUCCAGGCUUCAAAUAGCUCUGAUUAAAGGGUAAGAGUCUAAGCUUUGGAAUCAGACAUAUUGGCUAUGUGGUCUUGGUUAAGUUACUUAAUUUCUCUGAGCCUUUUUUUUUUUUUUUUUUCAUUUGUAAAGUGGGAAUAAUAAUACAUGUUUCAUGAAAUUAAAUAACACAUAAAGAAUUUGUCAGGGCACUUUGUACACAGAAAGCUGGUAAUAAUAGUACUGGUUACAAUGUUAUUACUAGCAUUAAUUUUGGCCUAUCUUCAGAGCCCAUAACUAUCACAAAAUAUGAGUAAAGUUUUACAAGAGUCAUUAGUAAACUUAGAAAUGUAUAACUACCAAUGUUUUAGGAUUCCAAGACUUUAAAAAUACAGGUUAGAAGUUUAAUUAA